UACGUAGGGGGCAAGCGUUGUCCGGAUUUAUUGGGCGUAAAGAGCGUGUAGGCGGUUUGGUAAGUCCGUUGUGAAAACUCGAGGCUCAACCUCGAGACGCCGAUGGAAACCAUCAGACUAGAGUCCGGAAGAGGAGAGUGGAAUUCCUGGUGUAGCGGUGAAAUGCGCAGAUAUCAGGAAGAACACCAGUGGCUAAGGCGGCUCUCUAGUACGGUACUGACGCUGAGACGCGAAAGCGUGGGGAGCGAACAGG
rnacentral:rRNA from 1 species